GACAGAGGCCCCAAGCGUUAGGCGGAAUCACUGGGCUUAAAGCGUGUGUAGGCGGAUCGUUAAGUACCUUGUGAAAUCCCACGGCUCACCCGUGGAACUGCUGGGUAUACUGGCGGUCUUGGGCCAACUAGGGGCAGCUGGAACAAGCGGUGGAGCGGUGAAAUGCGUAGAUAUCGCUUGGAACGCCGAAGGUGAAAACAGGCUGCUGGGGUUGUGCCGACGCUGAGACACGAAAGCCAGGGGAGCAAACGGG
rnacentral:rRNA from 1 species